CUUGAGUUUGGUUCCAGUUCUGUUCUGUGGAUUUAUUUGCUGUUUUGUUGUUAAUUAGUGCAAUAAAAUGCAACCGGGGGUGCGCGACCACAGAGUCAAAGGUUCCGCUUACUUUGUUCUUUUACUCACCGAUAUUAACACAGGGCGACAUAUUAUAAAUGUACAAAUAAAGCUCUUAAUUACACAAAUUAAAAUAAAGAAUUGUCUUUUUACUCAAUAAUACCAAAUGUGGUCGCACAUAUUUGGGUGAACCACACAUGUCUGCGUGCUGAAAGAGGACGUGCUGGUCUGACCCCCUCCUCCUUUCAG